UACGAAGGGGGCUAGCGUUGCUCGGAAUCAUUGGGCGUAAAGGGCAAGUAGGUGGUCUCAUUUGUCUUGUGUGAAAUCCUUGGGCUUAACUCAAGAAGUGCGCAAGAAACGGUGAGACUCGAGUUCUGGAGAGGUGGGUGGAAUUCCCGGUGUAGCGGUGAAAUGCGUAGAGAUCGGGAGGAACACCAGAGGCGAAGGCGGCCCACUGGACAGAUACUGACACUCAACUGCGAAAGCGUGGGGAGCAAACAGGG
rnacentral:rRNA from 1 species